rnacentral:rRNA from 2 species
UACGGAGGGUGCAAGCGUUGUUCGGAAUUAUUGGGCGUAAAGCGCGCGCAGGCGGCCGCAUAAGUCUAUGGGUGAAAUGCCGGGGCUCAACCCCGUGCAUGCCCAGGAUACUGUGCGGCUAGAGACACGUAGAGGCAAGCGGAAUUCCGGGUGUAGCGGUGGAAUGCGUAGAGAUCCGGAAGAACACCGGAGGCGAAGGCGGCUUGCUGGGCGUGAUCUGACGCUGAGGCGCGAAAGCGUGGGGAGCGAACAGG